GCACUGGUUUAGCUCAGUGGUUACUUUUCUGCAACAGUCUACUUGAUUUUGUGGUUCAAUCCCUCCUCAGGGUAAAACCACAGACUCUGUCCAGUGUCUUC
ensembl:vault_RNA Vault Vault RNA